AUCUUCCCAACAAAGAAAUAAAAACAGCAGACAAAAAUCAGAGUGAUAGUUAGGAAUUUUCAGUAAUACAGAUCUCUUCGUUGUCGUGUUUGACUGAUAGCUAGGGUUUGUGUGUUUGCUUGAGCUUAUUUUGUUCGUGAAGGUAAGAAGAAGAAACCACAGACAAAAAUAGAAGAACGAUUGAAGAUAUCCAUCGACGAAUCGAAGCCAUGGAUCAUGAAAACUGGUUGGGGGAUUUCUGGCAUGGAUUGAAGCUGGGUCUUUAUGAAAUUGGUUUUUUGUGCAACCAUGAGGCAAGCCUCUAAUCCGCAACAAGAUGCCUAAUUUGAGCAACUCAAGAUAGUGUGCCUUCUACUUGGUUAUUAUCUGUUGAUGUCAAUGCCAUCAAUAAUCAAAAGGAACUGCAAUGGAUUUAGCAGAAAAACUUGAACAUGGAGAAUCUGCAUUUGAAAUCAAGGAAGCUCUAACAGAAGCUGGUGCCAAGCAUGCAAGAAAUGUUGUUGUUCUCUUUGCUUCCAUUCCUUUCAUGGCUAUAUUCAGUUUGCCAGAGCAGUGCAAUUUUUGUUUGCCAUCACUUGAUUCCGAAGGUUCAAUUAUUAUCUACUACUGUAUAUUACCUUGGUUGGGGUUGAAUUGUUGGAUGCACUGAUGAAGAUUGAGAUAUGAUCAAUGAUUUCAUCAGUAAAUAGCUGUGUUACAACGAUACGCCUAAAAAAAUAAUCAGCCGUAUCGAUACGUAUUUACA